AAAAAGGGUGCUUGCUUUAUGGCAUAUAGGGUUCUUGGACCUUGUAGAGUAUGGCCAUCUAGAUAUACUCAGCACAUAAUUUUUGAACUGAGAAGCUGUUAGAUGUUUUUGAAAUUUGGCGCUUCU
rnacentral:snRNA from 1 species